GAUGAACGCUGGCGGUAUGCCUAACACAUGCAAGUCGUACGAGAGUUUUUAACUCAAGUGGCGGACGGGUGAGUAACACGUGAGAAUUUACCUUUAGGAGGGGGAUAACAAUUGGAAACGAUUGCUAAUACCCCAUAUGCUUCCGAGUGAAAAAGAAUUAUCUGCCUAAAGAGAAGCUCGCGGCUGAUUAGCUUGUUGGUAAGGUAAUGGCUUACCAAGGCGACGAUCAGUAUCUGGUUUGAGAGGACGAUCAGACACACUGGAACUGAGACACGGUCCAGACUCCUACGGGAGGCAGCAGUGGGGAAUUUUCCGCAAUGGGCGAAAGCCUGACGGAGCAAUACCGCGUGAGGGAAGACGGCCUAUGGGUUGUAAACCUCUUUUUUCAGUGAGGAAACAAAUGACGUGUAGCUGAAGAAUAAGCAUCGGCUAACUCCGUGCCAGCAGCCGCGGUAAG
rnacentral:rRNA from 1 species